UACGUAGGGGGCGAGCGUUGUCCGGAAUGACUGGGCGUAAAGGGCGCGUAGACGGCGGAUUAAGUCUGGAGUGAAAGUCCUGCUUUCAAGGUGGGAAUUGCUUUGGAGACUGGUUGGCUUGAGUGCGGAAGAGGUAAGUGGAAUUCCCAGUGUAGCGGUGAAAUGCGCAGAUAUCAGGAGGAACACCGAUGGCGAAGGCAGGUCUCUGGGCCACUACUGACGCUGAGAAGCGAAAGCAUGGGGAGCGAACAGGAUUAGAUA
rnacentral:rRNA from 1 species